GGCCAGACUCCUACGGGAGGCAGCAGUGGGGAAUAUUGCACAAUGGGGGAAACCCUGAUGCAGCGACGCCGCGUGAGUGAAGAAGUAUCUCGGUACGUAAAGCUCUAUCAGCAGGGAAGAAAAUGACGGUACCUGACUAAGAAGCCCCGGCUAACUACGUGCCAGCAGCCGCGGUAAUACGUAGGGGGCAAGCGUUAUCCGGAUUUACUGGGUGUAAAGGGUGCGUAGGUGGCAGGGCAAGUCAGAUGUGAAAGCCCGGGGCCCAACCCCGGUACUGCAUUUGAAACUGUCCGGCUGGAGUGCAGGAGAGGUAAGCGGAAUUCCUAGUGUAGCGGUGAAAUGCGUAGAUAUCAGGAGGAACACCAGUGGCGAAGGCGGCUUACUGGACUGUAACUGACACUGAGGCACGAAAGCGUGGGGAGCAAACAGGAUUAGAUACCCCCGUAAUC
rnacentral:rRNA from 1 species